CCACGCUGCUGACCCAGCCCACGUCCCACCCCUUUGCUUUGGGUUUGGGCUGGGCUUGCUGCGUGGGC
ensembl:miRNA gga-mir-12238 gga-mir-12238